UACGGAGGGUGCAAGCGUUAUCCGGAUUUACUGGGUUUAAAGGGUGCGCAGGCGGAUAUGUAAGUCAGUGGUGAAAUCUCUGGGCUUAACCCGGAAAUUGCCAUUGAUACUAUAUAUCUUGAAUGUUGUGGAGGUAAGCGGAAUAUGUCAUGUAGCGGUGAAAUGCGUAGAGAUGUGGAGGAACACCAGUGGCGAAGGCGACUCUUUGGUCUGUAACUGACGCUGAGGCGCGAAAGCGUGGGGAGCAAACAGG
rnacentral:rRNA from 1 species